rnacentral:tRNA from 1 species
UGCCUUGUGGUGUAAUUGGCAACACGUCUGACUCUGGAUCAGAAGACUUAAGGUUCGAGCCCUUACAAGGCAG